GAUUUAACGYGAAGAACCUUACCAUCCUUUGACAUGGCGUGUUACCCAGAGAGAUUUGGGGUCCACUUCGGUGGCGCGCACACAGGUGCUGCAUGGCUGUYGUCAGCUCGUGUCGUGAGAUGUUGGGUUAAGUCCCGCAACGAGCGCAACCCACGUCCUUAGUUGCCAUCAUUCAGUUGGGCACUCUAGGGAGACUGCCGGUGAUAAGCCGCGAGGAAGGUGUGGAUGACGUCAAGUCCUCAUGGCCCUUACGGGAUGGGCUACMCACGUGCUACAAUGGCGGUGACAGUGGGACGCGAAGGAGCGAUCUGGAG
rnacentral:rRNA from 1 species